rnacentral:rRNA from 1 species
CGUGAAGGAUGAAGGCCGUUCUGGGUUGUAAACUUCUUUUACCUGGGAAGAAACCCCGAUUUUCUAAUCCGGGUUGACGGUACCAGAGGAAUAAGCACCGGCUAACUCCGUGC